UUUCAUGUUAUUAUACUUUGCAUAAUGUAGUUUUAUUUUAUGUUUUAAUACCUUUAUUUAAUGUUUUCCCUCUAGAACAAUCACAUUUAAAACAUUUGGAAAGAGCAGGAAAUUGAAGAUUUCUUUAGAAGAUAUUUCCAAGCAGAUUCAGUUGAUUCAGAGCUCAUCAAGACAGCAUAGAAAAUGUGAAUCUCCACUGAAAGAUCAUGGCUUUUGGGCAGGGCUGUGCACAGUCCUAGGAGUACCCAAUACAUCAACAAAUAGGUACCGACUUAGAAGAGCACACUUCAGCCACUGUAAGGAUUUAGUUACAGGAGAAGCUGUGAAUAAUUUGAAAGAUGUGCAGGAGGUAAAAGAUGCGCAGAAGGUGGAAGACAUCCAGGAAGAG